UCUUGGUGCGUCCAGCCCGUGGCGAGGGCCGGCUCUCGUGGCCGAGUGCUUGGAGGAGACUGGAGCCUCUUUAGGAAGAAUGGAGUUGGCGACUCGCUACCAGAUCCCUAAAGAAGUGGCUGAUAUCAUUAACGCCACCAGUGAUGAUGAAGAGUUCGUGGGCUUCCGAGGUGAUGUUCCCAUGGAAACCCUCUCGUCAGAGGAGAGCUGCGAUAGUUUUGACUCACUGGAGUCAGGGAAACAGCAGGAUAUGCACUUUCAUUCCAAAUACUUCACUGAAGAGCUAAGAAGAAUUUUUAUAGAGGACACUGACUCAGAGACUGAGGAUUUUGCAGGAUUUACACAGAGUGAUCUGAAUGGAAAGACUAACCCAGAAGUAAUGCUUGUGGAGUCAGAUUUGAGUGAUGAUGGUAAAGCAUCUUUGGUGAGCGAGGAAGAGGAAGAUGAAGAUAAGGCUACCCCAAGAAGAAGAAGGUCUCGAAGACGUAGUAUUGGUCUUCGAGUAGCCUUUCAGUUUCCCACCAAGAAGCUGGCCAACAAACCAGAUAAAAACAGUUCUGAGCAGCUGUUUUCUAGCUCACGCUUACAGAAUGAGAAAAAAGCAGUUCUUGGAAGAAAGAAAGGCCGUAGACAGGUGAUGCAAAGGGAAGAUUCUACGUCUGAGUCUGAGGACGACUCUCGGGAUGAGAGCCAGGAGAGUUCAGAUGCUCUGCUGAAAAGGACCAUGAACAUCAAGGAGAACAAAGCCAUGCUUGCUCAGUUAUUGGCAGAAUUGAACUCAAUGCCAGAUUUCUUCCCAGUCCGAACCCCGACCUCAGCUUCUAGGAAGAAAACAGUGAGGCGGGCCUUCUCAGAGGGACAGAUCACACGACGCAUGAACCCGACCCGGAGUGCGCGGCCUCCUGAGAAGUUUGCUCUAGAGAACUUUACU